CCUACGGGCGGCAGCAGUGAGGAAUAUUGGUCAAUGGGCGCGAGCCUGAACCAGCCAAGUCGCGUGAGGGAAGACGGUCCUAUGGAUUGUAAACCUCUUUUGUCGGGGAGCAAAAGACGCCACGCGUGGCGUUCAGAGAGUACCCGAAGAAAAAGCAUCGGCUAACUCCGUGCCAGCAGCCGCGGUAAUACGGAGGAUGCGAGCGUUAUCCGGAUUUAUUGGGUUUAAGGGCGGCGCAGGGGGAAGAUGAAGUCAGCGGUAAAAUUGGGAGGUUCAACCUCUUGGUGCCGUUGAAACUGGUUUUCUUGAGUGAUGGAGAAGUAUGCGGAAUGCGUAGUGUAGCGGUGAAAUGCGUAGAUAUCACGCAGAACUCCGGUUGCGAAGGCAGCAUACCGGCGCUCAACUGACGCUCAUGCACGAAAGUGUGGGUAUCGAACAGGAUUAGAUACCCGAGUAGUC
rnacentral:rRNA from 1 species